rnacentral:lncRNA from 1 species
AUUCGAUUCGGGGUUCACGAUGAGAACGAUGCGCUCGCGCAACAAUGGCGAAGAAGAUGAGGAUGAUACGAUGGCAACACGGAACGACACUGCCAAUGCGAGAAACAGAAGAGGUGGCAUACACGAACGUAGCCGAAGAACAUUGUCCAUCGUAUUUGUACAUUUAGAAGAAGAAGAAGAAGAAGAGUAGGGGAAACCACGAUUCACAUGA